rnacentral:rRNA from 1 species
GAUGAACGCUAGCGGCAGGCUUAAUACAUGCAAGUCGAGGGGCAGCACGGGUAGCAAUACUGGGUGGCGACCGGCAAACGGGUGCGGAACACGUACACAACCUUCCUUUUGGUGGGGGAUAGCCUUUGGAAACGGAGAUUAAUACCCCAUAAUACAGGGGGCCCGCAUGGGUCUAUUGUUAAAGAUUUAUUGCCAGAAGAUGGGUGUGCGUCUGAUUAGGUAGUUGGCGGGGUAAAGGCCCACCAAGCCGACGAUCAGUAACUGGUGUGAGAGCACGACCAGUCACACGGGCACUGAGACACGGGCCCGACUCCUACGGGAGGCAGCAGUAAGGAAUAUUGGUCAAUGGGCGGAAGACUGAACCAGCCAUGCCGCGUGGAGGAUGAAGGUCCUCUGGAUUGUAAACUUCUUUUAUCAGGGGCGAAAAAAGGCCAUUCUUGGUCGUCUGACGGUACCUGAUGAAUAAGCACCGGCUAACUCCGUGCCAGCCGCCGCAGUAAAAC